AUCAAUGACAGCAUGUAGAUGUGGGGGCUGGACUGACUGUUUGCUUUGUCUCGCUAUAAAAUGUUACAAGUAAGGCAGAACUGGGUCUGAUGACAACGUGACGUUCCAGUUUCCACUGAGAUGACACCAGCUGCACUCAAAAUCAGACUUCCCAGAAGAUGAAGUACUUUAGCUUUACUGGUUCCCAAGGGAGUCUGCAGGUGUGGAUUAAGGGCCACCCACCUUUCUCUGUUCAUCUCAGUAAAUCAUGCACCCUGAAGUGGUUGCAUGUUACUAUGGCUGUCAGUUGCUGGAAAAAAAACUUAGCAGUGCAUUUAAAAAGAGCUAUUAAAAGCUGGGGGGGAAAAAAAAAAAAAAAAAAAAAAAGAAGUUUCAUUAUAAAAAAAUCAAACACACAAAAACAAAAUAUUUAAUACAUAAAUAGAAUAGAAUGAUUAUUUUCCACGAGGAAUAUUUUCCAAGCAUAUUUAAUGAAAAGGCAUAGGUGAUGGGAGCCAGACUGCAAAAUUCUCUUUCUGCUCUGGACCCGGCCCCCUCCGUGUACACACACAUCUCCUGCACCCACACACGCCCAGGAUGUCCUUGGUGUGGACGUGCAGAUCUCUGUGUCUCCUGCCCACAUCAAGAGCUGCAAACCAGACAGAGGGGGACUUAUGCCCACAUACAGUCCCUCUGACACCUCCUUGUAGGCAGAUUGACUAGAGCCUAACUUCUCUUCCAAGGAUAACCAUAAGCGGUUUGGGUACUGAGAUCAGGAGCUCAGGUGGGUCUAGGGUUUGAACAUAUAGGGGUUAAAUAAGCUAGCUUUAGAAAGUGGGGAAGGAGAACGGCAUCUCAACAUUUCAUGGUCAGCUGUGCAAACACAAAGAAAGGAACAAUACAAAAUGAAUGGGUUUGACCGGUUUGAAUGCACCGUAAGAAGGUCAGACCGAGGAAGACGUCGAGCCUUUGCGAGGAAGACUUCUGACUUCAUCCCCACAACCACCAGAGGGAGACCCCUACUACGGACAACGCAUGUGCCAGGGGAGGGGCAGUAUGUAAAUGAAUUUUCGGAGGGAUAAUGAAUAUGUAGAUGAGUUCCAAUAAUCCUGCUGAAUAUGUAUGGACUUGGCUUACAAAUUUGUAGUGUUUUUGCUUGCUGGUGUGCAAGUUUGGUGGAGUGAUCCUCCUUGCACCCGGCCGGCCGAAUAAACAUACCUGCUUUAUAACCUAACUGGGUUAUAGAGUUUGAUUCCACACAUCAAUACCUCCACCCUGGGGUGCAACUUAGAAGGCUUUUCCCUGUGUUCCCUUGUUUUCUGCCCAUUUUCUGAAGCCCAUCAAUUUUUGUUUCAUAUGGUUUAAGACAGAGUGGCUAAAAAUGUCCCAAACAUUCAAAAUGCAUGAAGACCACUGAUUUAAGUGGAAUUAUCCCAGUCCCUUCUGUGUUUUUCUGGGAACACCAAAAUCAGAGCCUUCUGUUGGAUUAUAGACGCUGAGUUUGUCGAUCUCUUCUCCCAAAUGAUUAGAUUUAACUGAGAGACAAACAAGGGGACAGAACAGCUCAAAUUAUUUCUGUUAAAGCUCAUUUUCUCACACUGACAACAGCCAAUUUCCCCCAUCAUCUUCUUUCCCAAGAACCUAUUUUUUGUCACUUUCUCCCAGACUUUCCUAGUCCAGGAAACACUGAUCUACCUUAAAAAUAUUAUACUGUUCUCUGUAAACUCUUACCUCGGUGGUUUGUAAUUCCAAGGUCUACAGAUGUGCUUUAAAACGGUUGGCAUAUUUGCUUUUCUGCAGUCUCUCAUUUCAGUGUGAACUUUUGCUAAGAGUUUGAUCAUUUUUGGUUUUGUUUGGUUUGAUUUUCCCCUUGUAAAAAGCUGAAGAAAUCUCUUUUAUGUGAUCCCUGCUCUUCAGCCAAAAUGUAAGUGGUUUGUGAUGAACGUGGGUUAGUACAGAUGUUCUUGGAAAUCUC
ensembl:lncRNA